UGCUGUAUAAUAACACUGACCACCCCAAGGUAAGAGACUACUGCUCUAUAAUAACACUGACCACCCCAAGGUAAGAGUCUACUGCUCUAUAACAACACUGACCACCCCAAGGUAAGAGACUACUGAUCUAUAAUAACACUGACCACAGCAAGGUAAGAGACUACUGCUCUAUAAUAACACUGACCACCCCAAGGUAAGAGACUACUGCUCUAUAAUAACACUGACCACCCCAAGGUAAGAGACUACUGCUCUAUAAUAACACUGACCACCCCAAGAUAAGAGACUAGUGGUAUAUAAUAACACUGACAACCCCAAGGUAAGAGACUACUGCUCUAAUAACACUGACCACCCCAAGGUAAGAGACUACUGCUCUAUAAUAACACUGACCACCCCAAGGUAAGAGACUACUGCUCUAUAAUAACACUGACCACCCCAAGGUAAGAGACUACUGCUCUAUAAUAACACUGACCACCCCAAGGUAAGAGACUACUGCUGUAUAAUAACACUGACAACCCCAAGGUAAGAGACUACUGCUGUAUAAUAACACUGACCACCCCAGGGUAAGAGACUACUGCUGUAUAAUAACACUGACCACCCCAAGGUAAGAGACUACUGCUGUAUAAUAACACUGACCACCCCAAGGUAAGAGACUACUGAUCUAUAAUAACACUGACCACCCCAAGGUAAGAGACUACUGAUCUAUAAUAACACUGACCACCCCAAGGUAAGAGACUACUGAUCUAUAAUAACACUGACCACCCCAAGGUAAGAGACUACUGCUGUAUAAUAACACUGACCACCCCAAGGUAAGAGACUACUCCUCUAUAAUAACACUGACCACCCCAAGGUAAGAGACUACUGAUCUAUAAUAACACUGACCACCCCAAGGUAAGAGACUACUGCUGUAUAAUAACACUGACCACCCCAAGGUAAGAGACUACUGCUCUAUAAUAACACUGACCACCCCAAGGUAAGAGUCUACUGCUCUAUAACAACACUGACCACCCCAAGGUAAGAGACUACUGAUCUAUAAUAACACUGACCACAGCAAGGUAAGAGACUACUGCUCUAUAAUAACACUGACCACCCCAAGGUAAGAGACUACUGCUCUAUAAUAACACUGACCACCCCAAGGUAAGAGACUACUGCUCUAUAAUAACACUGACCACCCCAAGGUAAGAGACUACUGCUCUAUAAUAACACUGACUACCCCAAGGUAAGAGACUACUGCUCUAUAAUAACACUGACCACCCCAAGGUAAGAGACGACUGCUCUAAUAACACUGACCACCCCAAGGUAAGAGACGACUGCUCUAUAGUAACACUGACCACAGUGGAAGGAGUAGGACUGAUUCUCUGUGGUUCUGAGAGAGAGGUCUGUCUAACUCGGUGUUGUUCAUACUCUAGGUUCUGAGAGAGAGGUCAGUCUAACUCAGUGUUGUUCAUACUCUAGGUUCUGAGAGAGAGGUCAGUCUAACUCUGUGUUGUUCAUACUCUAGGUUCUGAGAGAGUGGUCAGUCUAACUCUGUGUUGUUCAUACUCUAGGUUCUGAGAGAGUGGUCAGUCUAACUCUGUGUUGUUCAUACUCUAGGUUCUGAGAGAGAGGUCAGUCUAACUCUGUGUUGUUCAUACUCUAGGUUCUGAGAGAGUGGUCAGUCUAACUCAGUGUUGUUCAUACUCUAGGUUCUGAGAGAGUGGUCAGUCUAACUCAGUGUUGUUCAUACUCUAGGUUCUGAGAGAGAGGUCAGUCUAACUCAGUGUUGUUCAUACUCUAGGUUCUGAGAGAGAGGUCAGUCUAACUCUGUGUUGUUCAUACUCUAGGUUCUGAGAGAGAGGUCAGUCUAACUCUGUGUUGUUCAUACUCUAGGUUCUGAGAGAGUGGUCAGUCUAACUCUGUGUUGUUCAUACUCUAGGUUCUGAGAGAGAGGUCAGUCUAACUCUGUGUUGUUCAUACUCUGGGUUCUGAGAGAGUGGUCAGUCUAACUCUGUGUUGUUCAUACUCUAGGUUCUGAGAGAGAGGUCAGUCUAAAUCAGUGUUGUUCAUACUCUAGGUUCUGAGAGAGAGGUCAGUCUAACUCGGUGUUGUUCAUACUCUAGGUUCUGAGAGAGUGGUCAGUCUAACUCAGUGUUGUUCAUACUCUAGGUUCUGAGAGAGUGGUCAGUCUAACUCAGUGUUGUUCAUACUCUAGGUUCUGAGAGAGUGGCCAGUCUAACUCAGUGUUGUUCAUACUCUAGGUUCUGAGAGAGAGGUCAGUCUAACUCUGUGUUGUUCAUACUCUAGGUUCUGAGAGAGUGGUCAGUCUAACUCAGUGUUGUUCAUACUCUAGGUUCUGAGAGAGUGGUCAGUCUAACUCUGUGUUGUUCAUACUCUAGGUUCUGAGAGAGUGGCCAGUCUAACUCUGUGUUGUUCAUACUCUAGGUUCUGAGAGAGUGGUCAGUCUAACUCAGUGUUGUUCAUACUCUAGGUUCUGAGAGAGAGGUCAGUCUAACUCUGUGUUGUUCAUACUCUAGGUUCUGAGAGAGUGGUCAGUCUAACUCUGUGUUGUUCAUACUCUAGGUUCUGAGAGAGAGGUCAGUCUAACUCGGUGUUGUUCAUACUCUAGGUUCUGAGAGAGUGGUCAGUCUAACUCAGUGUUGUUCAUACUCUAGGUUCUGAGAGAGAGGUCAGUCUAACUCAGUGUUGUUCAUACUCUAGGUUCUGAGAGAGUGGUCAGUCUAACUCUGUGUUGUUCAUACUCUAGGUUCUGAGAGAGUGGUCAGUCUAACUCUGUGUUGUUCAUACUCUAGGUUCUGAGAGAGUGGUCAGUCUAACUCUGUGUUGUUCAUACUCUAGGUUCUGAGAGAGAGGUCAGUCUAACUCUGUGUUGUUCAUACUCUAGGUUCUGAGAGAGAGGUCAGUCUAACUCGGUGUUGUUCAUACUCUAGGUUCUGAGAGAGUGGUCAGUCUAACUCAGUGUUGUUCAUACUCUAGGUUCUGAGAGAGAGGUCAGUCUAACUCAGUGUUGUUCAUACUCUAGGUUCUGAGAGAGUGGUCAGUCUAACUCAGUGUUGUUCAUACUCUAGGUUCUGAGAGAGUGGUCAGUCUAACUCUGUGUUGUUCAUACUCUAGGUUCUGAGAGAGAGGUCAGUCUAACUCUGUGUUGUUCAUACUCUGGGUUCUGAGAGAGUGGUCAGUCUAACUCUGUGUUGUUCAUACUCUAGGUUCUGAGAGAGAGGUCAGUCUAAAUCAGUGUUGUUCAUACUCUAGGUUCUGAGAGAGAGGUCAGUCUAACUCGGUGUUGUUCAUACUCUAGGUUCUGAGAGAGUGGUCAGUCUAACUCAGUGUUGUUCAUACUCUAGGUUCUGAGAGAGUGGCCAGUCUAACUCAGUGUUGUUCAUACUCUAGGUUCUGAGAGAGUGGUCAGUCUAACUCUGUGUUGUUCAUACUCUAGGUUCUGAGAGAGUGGCCAGUCUAACUCUGUGUUGUUCAUACUCUAGGUUCUGAGAGAGUGGUCAGUCUAACUCAGUGUUGUUCAUACUCUAGGUUCUGAGAGAGAGGUCAGUCUAACUCUGUGUUGUUCAUACUCUAGGUUCUGAGAGAGUGGUCAGUCUAACUCUGUGUUGUUCAUACUCUAGGUUCUGAGAGAGAGGUCAGUCUAACUCUGUGUUGGUUCUACUGCAGGUAUUGGGAUGAUGGACAGCCCAAUGGUGGUACAUUCCAGAACUGUGGGGGAAUCAUUUACAAGUCGUCAGGCCAAGGAGCAUUGUGGGAUUUUGAUUGUAUCUAUUCAAAACAAUGGAUCUGUGAGAAAUAGGCUUCUCAUAAGUACUUUCUCUGCACUGCUGAUGAAUGAACUCUCUACUGUAUGUUAAUGAUGGUCUGAAGACUGGUGUGAUUUGAUUGAAUGGUACAAACACAUGCAGACAUUCAGAAACACACACACACACAAAGACACUGAUCUGAACCUGAGUCUCCCAUGGGGGAAACCAACGUCUUGAUUAGACGAGGUAAUUCCCUCUCGGACUGAGAUCUGACACUGAUUUUGAAGUUGCAGGCAGGGCUACCUCAUCACUUGACCAUGAGCAACCAAUCAUGACCAACUCAUGUCCACUACACAAGCUGACACAAUAAUGUAUUCAUUUGUCAAUCAAUAAGGUGUAGAAUAGGGGUAUAAUAUCAUUCAAUAGUCACUGUCAAUCAAUUACUGUUAAGUUUUACACUUUGAAAUAGAUUUGAAAUGACUGUAUAUGUUUAUCAGGUAUGCUUACUUCUUCUGCGUUUAUUAUUCUGAACAUACACAUUGUGUUCUUCCUGCUAAUUCAAUAAAUAAUUCAACCAAGAUUAAAGACA